rnacentral:rRNA from 1 species
CCAAUAGCGUAUAUUAAAGUUGUUGCAGUUAAAAAGCUCGUAGUUGAAUUUCGGGGUCAGUAGGUUGGCCAUGCCACUGGUAUGUACUGGUCUCACUGAUUCCUCCUUCCUGAUGAACUGUAAUGCCAUUAAUUUGGGGUUGCAGGGAAUCUGGACUGUUACUUUGAAAAAAUUAGAGUGUUUAAAGCAGGCUAACGCCUGAAUACAUUAGCAUGGAAUAAUGAAAUAGGACGUUCGAUCCUAUUUUGUUGGUUUCUAGGAUUGACGUAAUGAUUAAUAGGGAUAGUUGGGGGCAUUAGUAUUCAAUUGUCAGAGGUGAAAUUCUUGGAUUUAUUGAAGACUAACUACUGCGGAAGCAUUUGCCAAGGAUGUUUUCAUUAAUCAAGAACGAAAGUUAGGGGAUCGAAGACGAUCAGAUACCGUCGUAGUCUUAACCAUAAACUAUGCCGACUAGGGAUCGGAUGAUGUUAAUUUUUUAAUGACUCAUUCGGCGCCUUACG